rnacentral:rRNA from 1 species
UACGGAGGAUGCGAGCGUUAUCCGGAUUUAUUGGGUUUAAAGGGUGCGUAGGCGGUUUUUUAAGUUAGUGGUUAAACGUCGGGGCUUCACCUUGAUUUGCCAUUAAUACUGUAAGACUCGAGUUCAGACGAGGUAGGCGGAAUAAGUUAAGUAGCGGUGAAAUGCUUAGAUAUAACUUAGAACUCCGAUAGCGAAGGCAGCUUACCAAACUAUAUCUGACGUUGAGGCACGAAAGCGUGGGUAGCAAACAGG